rnacentral:lncRNA from 1 species
GUGACAGCCAAGGUGAAAGCUCCACAAUUGGGAUGAUGAGCAAAAGCUGGUCCCAGUGGGCAGAGCACAGCAACCAGGAGAUGAGGAGAGGCACCAGGCUGAGAUCAUGGCGUGAGAGGGGGCUGAUGGCCUGGCUGAGCCUCACCGCGCAGGCGCUCUUCCCCAGCGCAGACGCCCUGCUCUGUCCUGACAGUCCCGCGUUGCCCUCAAUCUGAAGGUGUGGAUAAUUAAGAUCCAUGGAAACAUCCGCUAAUAGGUGGAGCCUGUGGUCUCUGGCAAUGCCCUGGAAUGCCCUGGAAUGGUUUUUUCCUUCCUGUGGGAUCCCAGAUGAGAUGAAAGGUCAUGGCCACUGUUCUUAAACCAGGUAUGUCAAGUCUAUAGCCCCAUUUCCUGAAGAUGGGUUCUGCAUUUGCACAGAGGUCAACAAACACCAGACAGGGCAUCCUUGCCGAAGGCACUUCUCUUUAGGAAGCCCACCUGCUUGCCCUUUUUGCCAUGAAUGUUUCCA